rnacentral:rRNA from 1 species
UACGAAGGGGGCUAGCGUUGCUCGGAAUCACUGGGCGUAAAGCGCACGUAGGCGGAUCUUUAAGUCAGGGGUGAAAUCCUGGAGCUCAACUCCAGAACUGCCUUUGAUACUGGGGAUCUCGAGUCCGGGAGAGGUGAGUGGAACUCCGAGUGUAGAGGUGAAAUUCGUAGAUAUUCGGAAGAACACCAGUGGCGAAGGCGGCUCACUGGUCCGGUUCUGACGCUGAGGCGCGAAAGCGUGGGGAGCAAACAGG